rnacentral:rRNA from 1 species
AUUGAACGCUGGCGGCAUGCUUUACACAUGCAAGUCGAACGGUAACAGGUUUUCGGAUGCUGACGAGUGGCGAACGGGUGAGUAACACAUCGGAACGUGCCUAGUAGUGGGGGAUAACUACUCGAAAGAGUAGCUAAUACCGCAUGAGAUCUAAGGAUGAAAGCAGGGGACCUUCGGGCCUUGCGCUACUAGAGCGGCUGAUGGCAGAUUAGGUAGUUGGUGGAAUAAAAGCUUACCAAGCCGACGAUCUGUAGCUGGUCUGAGAGGACGACCAGCCACACUGGGACUGAGACACGGCCCAGACUCCUACGGGAGGCAGCAGUGGGGAAUUUUGGACAAUGGGCGAAAGCCUGAUCCAGCAAUGCCGCGUGUAGGAUGAAGGCCCUCGGGUUGUAAACUACUUUUGUACGGAACGAAAGACUCUUUCUAAUAAAGAGGGUCCAUGACGGUACCGUAAGAAUAAGCACCGGCUAACUACGUGCCAGCAGCCGCGGUAAAACGU